AUACGUAUGGUGCAAACGUUGUUCGGAAUCACUGGGCUUAAAGAGCACGUAGGCGGUUAAGAAAGUCUGAUGUGAAAUCCCCCGGCUCAACCGGGGAACUGCAUCAGAAACUUCUUAGCUAGAGUAUAGGAGGGGAGAGUGGAAUUCCUGGUGGAGCGGUGAAAUGCGUAGAUAUCAGGAGGAACGCCGGUGGCGAAAGCGACUCUCUGGCCUAUUACUGACGCUGAGGUGCGAAAGCUAGGGGAGCGAACGGGAUUAGAUACCCCAGUAGUCC
rnacentral:rRNA from 1 species